ensembl:snRNA U6 U6 spliceosomal RNA
CAAAUCGGAAUUUCCUCACUUGAAAAAUGAGUGUCACAACGAUAUAGAGAAGAUAAGCAUGGACCCUUGCGCAAGGAUGACAUGCACAUUUGCGAAGUGUGCCUUAUUUUU